UGUCCGAAGGCCGACCCUGUGGAGGUUC
rnacentral:sRNA from 1 species